AGAUGGUAUAUCAGAAGCAGGAGCUGUAACUCAGUGGUANNGGAAUUNCCUAGAAAGCAGAAGGUUGUAAGUUCAAUUCUUCACAUUAACUCAGAAGAAGAUUAUGGUAGACCUCUUCUGUAUUUGCCAAGAAAACAAUAUAGGAGCAUCCAUGUAGUUACCAAGAGUUGAUGCCAACUUGAUGGAGCUAAGCAGUGACAGUAAUAACAGAAACACUUGUGAAGGAUCAUCCUGAAAUGAUUGGGGAAUCCAGACUGAAUUUUUUGAAAAGUCUAUCAUCUGGUGUUGGAGGAAUCUGGAAACUUCUCUGCUGCCAGUACAGCUGCCUCAAUGCCCA
rnacentral:lncRNA from 1 species